UUUGGUGCAUUUAGUUUGUAGACUAUCCAUCAGUAUAUUAGAAUGGGGAAAGAUUAGACCAGAGCACUCUGUUUUCUCAUAUUAUUCCAUAUUCAUUCUUUAUUUGUCUCCAAAACACAACUAUUUCUAUACUGACAAAACCAACCACUUUGAAUUCUCACUACACAAUUUCAUGCUUUAUAUAAUAAUACUCUUGCUCGACAAGAAUUUCAUUUUGCCUUAUCUGAACCACUUUAAAACAUGUCCUUUGGAGCAGAGGAGCUUUUGAGACAGACCCUUGCUUCUUGAUUUUUUAAAAUUUUGUGAGAUUUCGAAAAAUCUUCAAGGGGUUUUCUGGGUUUUUGGUGUUUUAUAAUACCCACAUGUAGAGUUGGAUUUGGUGCUGUUUUUCACUGUUGUUCAACAGAAGUGUUAUACUGCCAACCAUGUAGCUGCUGGGAGUAUUGAGAAUGCCAAUAUAAGCCUUGAGCAAAUCUCACAUCUAUCUUCUCCUGAUGGAGAUACAAUGCAAAGAAUUGCUGCUCACUUUACUGAGGCACUAGCUGAUAGGAUGCUUAAACGCUGGCCCGGAUUGCACAAGGCCCUCAACUCAACAAAGAUAACUUUAGUAUCUGAAGAAAGGCUUGGUCAUUAUGUUUUGCUCUAAUUCUUUCAUAGCUGUAGCGUUCAUAAGCUUGUUUAGUCACUAGAUUCAUACAUUAAGCUGAUUGAGUAUUGGAGACCUGGAACUGAAAUACAUGUAUCAGUACAUGAAGCUUACUUGAUACCUUCUGCUUUUCAACUGAGGCCUCUUUUGAUUUCAUAUUUUAA